rnacentral:rRNA from 1 species
GCACAAGCGUGGAGCAUGUGGUUUAAUUCGACGCAACGCGAAGAACCUUACCAGGGCUUGACAUCCUCUGACAGCCAUUGAAAGGUGGUUUUCUGGCUUCGGUCAGACAGAGAGACAGGUGGUGCAUGGUUGUCGUCAGCUCGUGUCGUGAGAUGUUGGGUUAAGUCCCGCAACGAGCGCAACCCCUACGUUUAGUUGCUAACGUGUAAAGAUGAGCACUCUAGACGAACUGCCGUUGACAAAACGGAGGAAGGUGGGAUGACGUCAAAUCAUCAUGCCCCUUAUGUCCUGGGCUACACACGUGCUACAAUGGCCGGUACAAAGGGACGCAAAGCCGCGAGGUGGAGCAAAUCCGAUAAAAGCCGGUCUCAGUUCGGAUUGCAGGCUGCAAUUCGCCUGCAUGAAGUCGGAAUCGCUAGUAAUCGCAGGUCAGCCAUACUGCGUUGAAUACGUUCCCGGGGCUU